GGCGCUUGUGUGUGGUUUUGCUUAACUUAUGCACAAAGGCUUACAGACAGUGCAAAAAAUAAACCCUCUUCAGCAACCCCGAACUCAUUGUAUACUAUGAGUUCUGACACAUAUAAGAAGAAAUAUG
rnacentral:snoRNA from 1 species